UACGUAGGGUGCGAGCGUUAGUCGGAAUUACUGGGCGUAAAGCGUGCGCAGGCGGUUUGUUAAGACAGAUGUGAAAUCCCCGGGCUUAACCUGGGAACUGCAUUUGUGACUGGCAAGCUAGAGUAUGGCAGAGGGGGGUAGAAUUCCACGUGUAGCAGUGAAAUGCGUAGAUAUGCGGAGGAACACCGAUGGCGAAGGCAAUCCCCUGGGCCUGCACUGACGCUCAUGCACGAAAGCGUGGGGAGCGAACAGG
rnacentral:rRNA from 1 species